rnacentral:rRNA from 1 species
GACGAACGCUGGCGGCGUGCCUAAUACAUGCAAGUCGAGCGGACCGAACAGGAGCUUGCUCUUGUUCGGUUAGCGGCGGACGGGUGAGUAACACGUGGGUAACCUGCCCGUAAGACCGGGAUAACUCCGGGAAACCGGAGCUAAUACCGGAUAACACCGAAGACCGCAUGGUCUUUGGUUGAAAGGCGGCUUCGGCUGCCACUUACGGAUGGGCCCGCGGCGCAUUAGCUAGUUGGUGAGGGAACGGCUCACCAAGGCGACGAUGCGUAGCCGGCCUGAGAGGGUGACGGGCCAAACUGGGACUGAGACACGGCCCAGACUCCUACGGGAGGCAGCAGUAGGGAAUCUUCCGCAAUGGACGAAAGUCUGACGGAGCGACGCCGCGUGAGCGAAGAAGGUCUUCGGAUCGUAAAGCUCUGUUGUUAGGGAAGAAGAAGCGUCGUUCGAACAGGGCGGCGCGGUGACGGUACCUAACGAGAAAGCCCCGGCUAACUACGUG